rnacentral:tRNA from 1 species
GUCUUUGUAGUAUAUAAAAUACCUUGGUCUUGUAAACCAAAAAAGGAGAACACUAAUCCUCCCUAAGACU